AUUACAUCACAUUACUUGAGAAUAGUUUGAAGGCUUAAGUAGGGAUGUAUUACACAGAAAGUUCAAGUAGAAGAAGGGAGGGGACUAAGAAUAGGCCCUUGGAUAAUGCCAGUAGAAAUGACAGAAAAACAGCUUACAGUGGAGAUGAGAAGAAACUUUCAAGAAAACACAAAAACGGGGGAAAAACAGCAACCAAAGAAAAGAGAUUUUCCUGGAAAAGAGAUUAACAAAUAGUGUUCAUACAAGGAAUUCCAAUUAGGCAGAACUUACAAACUUAUACAGCUGAUAAUUUUGACAUUUCAGUAGUCUACAGCAACAGAAGUUAGGGCAGGUCCAAGUUUUGUGGGAUCUAAAAAUCAACCAAUUUUGGAGUCCCCAUUUACAAAACGAAACUAUGAAUGCAAAAUCCAAUAUGCCCCAUGAAGGCCUAGGAAAGGAUCUGUGCAAUGAGGAGCCCUGAAUUUUAAGCUUCAAUAGCUUCAUGGAAAUCCAUCUCCAAACGGGUGCAAGAUUUCAGUGGAAAAUAUAAAUGGGAAAACUUUCUCAGACAAAUUAAAAAGAGUUGGAAGAUUUCAUGGUAUCCAUAGGCAUAUUCAGGAUUAAAAUGCAGGUUCACAUAAAGUACCAAGCAACAUAAAAUGCAGCAUGAAUUAAAAGGGAGUGAUGAUGCCACAGAGUCAAGAACCGAGGUAACGAUGUAGCUUAAUGUCAUUGAAAAAUAGUCCGUGCAGAACAUCUGCAGACUGGACUUCCUACUGGAUAUUCUAAGCACAAAAAAACUCAACAAGUUCUAGGAUCCUCUUUUCAGAUAACUCAGACUAUACAAAAAACAUCUUCAAGUCAUUUUUAAAUUUUUGAUUUUAACUACUGACAAAUAAUUGUACAUAUUAUAUAUUUAUUUGAUAUAAUGUGAUAUUUUGAUGUAAAUUUACAUUAUGGAAUAAAUAAGUGAAGCUAAUUAACAAAUCGGUCAGCUCACAUACUUAUUAUUUUGGUGAGUGAAAACAUUUAAAAUCUACUAUUUUAGUAACUUUGAAAUAUAUAAUGCAUUUUUAUUAUAGUCACCAUUCUAUGCAAUAGAUCACUAAAGCAUAUUCUUCCUGUCUAACUAAAACUGUAUAUAAUUUGAUCAACAUCUUCCCUCCCUCAGCCACCCCUCUUCCCCCAACUUUUGGUAACCACCAAUAUACUCUCUACUUCUAUGGGUUUGACUUUGAGAUUCCACAUAAGUGAGUUCAUGUGCUAUCUGGCUUUCUGUUCCUGGUUUAUUUCACUCAGCAUAAUUUAUUCCAGGUUUAUCCAUGUGAUUACAAACGACAGAAUUUCCACCUUUUAAAAAGCUGAAUAAUAUUCCACUGUGUCUAUACACAUACAGCAUUUUCUUUAUCCAUUCAUUUGAUAAUGGGCAUCUACGUUGCUUCCAUAUGUUGGCUACUGUGAUUAAUGCUGCAAUGAAUCCAGGAGUGCAGAUUCUCUUUUUGAUAUACUAAUUUCAAUUUCUCUGGAUAUAUACCCAGAAGUGGAAUUGCUGGAUCACAUGGUCAUUCUGAUUUUGGUUUUCUGAGGAACCUUCAUACUGUUUUCCACAGUGACUGUAUUAAUUUACAUUCUCACCAAUAGUACACAAAGAUUCCCUUUUUCUUCACAUGCUUGCCAUUUACCUUUUGUCAUUUUGAUAACAGUCAUUCUAACAGGUGUGCAAUAUUUCAUCAUGCAUUUUAUUUGUAUAUC